UAGUCCACGCCGUAAACGAUGAUAACUAGCUGUUCGGGCCCACAGGGCUUGAGUGGCGCAGCUAACGCAUUAAGUUAUCCGCCUGGGGAGUACGGUCGCAAGAUUAAAACUCAAAGGAAUUGACGGGGGCCUGCACAAGCGGUGGAGCAUGUGGUUUAAUUCGACGCAACGCGCAGAACCUUACCAGCUUUUGACAUCCUGGUCGCGGAUUUGGGAGACCAUUUCCUUCAGUUCGGCUGGACCAGUGACAGGUGCUGCAUGGCUGUCGUCAGCUCGUGUCGUGAGAUGUUGGGUUAAGUCCCGCAACGAGCGCAACCCUCAUCCUUAGUUGCCAGCAUUUAGUUGGGCACUCUAAGGAAACUGCCGGUGAUAAGCCGGAGGAGGGUGGGGAUGACGUCAAGUCCUCAUGGCCUUUAUGACCAGGGCUGCACACGUCCUACAAUGGCACGGACAAACGGAAGCUAAGCCGCGAGGUGGAGCAAAUCCUAGAAACCGUGCCU
rnacentral:rRNA from 1 species